GAACUUUGCUGAUGCUAAAGACCUUCUUUAGGGCAAACCGCUUCUACGGAAUCCGGCUUGGAUUCAGUAGAGCCAGGAAUGGGCUAACACUAGGAACCCACAGCCAUUGGCUGGGAACAGCUCAUGGUGCAAAUGCCUUGAUGAAUCCAGAGGACCAGCAUCUGCGGCUGUCAGCUAUGCUCCUUAAACCAGGAAAUCCAAGUGGUACUUGUAACUGGGACAAAGUCAAAAGUCUGAGCCUUGAGGGAAUUCUGACAGCUGGAUAAAAUGCUGAAAGGUGGAAGAAAGUCUUUACCUGUGUGUCAUACCCUGUGUGUAGAAGAAGUACAGUGAUCCCUCACCCAUCUCCAGAAUCACAUUCCAGAGACACCCGAGAUAGGUGAAAAUCCGUGACGUAGCAGUGUUAUAUUUGUUUUAUUUAUGUAAAUUUUAAAACUUUAUAAACCCUUCCUACACCCCUAUAAACCUUUCCCACUCUCUUACUAACUUUUCCCACACUCUUAUAAACACUUCAUAUGCUCUUAAACACUUUCUACACUCUUAAGCCCACGUAAUUUUAAC